rnacentral:pre_miRNA from 1 species
UCACUCUGUCCCAAAAUAAGCGCAACCAGUUUAUGUGUCCAAUUUUGAUCAUCCGUUUUAUUUGAUUUUUUUAUAAUUAGUAGUUUUAUUGUUAUUAGAUUAUAAAACAUGAAUAGUACUUUAUACGUGACUUAUGUUUUUAUUUAAAAAAACAAAUAAAACGGACGAUUAAAGUUGGACACGGAAACUUAUGGCUGCACUUAUUUUGGGACGGAGGGAC